rnacentral:rRNA from 1 species
AUACGAAGGGUGCAAGCGUUACUCGGAAUUACUGGGCGUAAAGCGUGCGUAGGUGGUUGUUUAAGUCUGUCGUGAAAGCCCUGGGCUCAACCUGGGAAUGGCGAUGGAAACUGGGCGACUAGAGUGUGGCAGAGGGUAGUGGAAUUCCUGGUGUAGCAGUGAAAUGCGUAGAGAUCAGGAGGAACAUCCGUGGCGAAGGCGACUGCCUGGGCCAACACUGACACUGAGGCACGAAAGCGUGGGGAGCAAACAGGAUUAGAUACCCUGGUAGUCCACGCCCUAAACGAUGCGAACUGGAUGUUGGGUGCAAUUUGGCACGCAGUAUCGAAGCUAACGCGUUAAGUUCGCCGCCUGGGGAGUACGGUCGCAAGACUGAAACUCAAAGUAAUUGACGGGG